rnacentral:rRNA from 1 species
GAUGAACGCUGGCGGCGUGCCUAAUACAUGCAAGUCGAGCGAACGGACGAGAAGCUUGCUUCUCUGAUGUUAGCGGCGGACGGGUGAGUAACACGUGGAUAACCUACCUAUAAGACUGGGAUAACUUCGGGAAACCGUAGCUAAUACCGGAUAAUAUUUUGAACCGCAUGGUUCAAAAGUGAAAGACGGUCUUGCUGUCACUUAUAGAUGGAUCCGCGCUGCAUUAGCUAGUUGGUAAGGUAACGGCUUACCAAGGCAACGAUGCAUAGCCGACCUGAGAGGGUGAUCGGCCACACUGGAACUGAGACACGGUCCAGGCUCCUACGGGAGGCAGCAGUAGGGAAUCUUCCGCAAUGGGCGAAAGCCUGACGGAGCAACGCCGCGUGAGUGAUGAAGGUCUUCGGAUCGUAAAACUCUGUUAUUAGGGAAGAACAUAUGUGUAAGUAACUGUGCACAUCUUGACGGGACCUAAUCAGAAAGCCACGGCUAACUACGU